GGGCGCUUCCGUUCCUCCCGCCUUCAUCAGUAGGAGUGAGAGGGCUGGGGCCGUAUUCCUUCAGCCCAUGUGCUGCUGGGAUAAGAAGCGCUGCCGAAGGCUGCUCGAACUUCACUGUGUUUCUGCAGGUGGAGCAAGGGCCGUGCCGGAGCCUCUCGUCGGCCCAAACCGGAGGGCGUUUGCAGUCCCCAGUUAUGUGUAAUUCGGCAGCACUAUCCCGUUGCUAUCGCGGAGCCGCCGCGGGACGACCUGUGUGACUGGGAUGCUCUUGUGGACGCCGCUAUUCUUGGUAGCACAGCCCGGCGCUGCGGCGGCGGGGUUCGUGUGAUGAAGCCGAACAGACCGAGGAGGAGAAGCGGAGAGCUCGGCAGCGGGGAGACGUGGGUAGUGUCAGCGGGCCGUCCGUUAUGGAGCGGGGCGAGGAAGACGGCUGGAAGCAAGGAGAUGGAAGCCACCCCCUUCCCCUGGCCAUAUGUUGUGCAGGAAGACAAAGUCCAGUGGACUCCAAAUAUCAGGUAAAACCUUCUUGACUGAUGUCCUGGUCUGUGACUGAAGGCACUGUGUGAAGUCAUUUACUGUGCUCUGGGGAGCACAAGGGGUUUUUGCUUUGGAAAGGGCUCAGGUAAGCAGCUGGAGAUGAAAUGCUGCUGCAUUGCGCGUCCAUCCAGGUAUGUGCUGUGUAUGCAAGGGCUGUUCCACUGCAUCAGCAACCUGAAGAGAAUGAGACUGUUAGAAAGGAGCUGAGUUAAUGCUCUUGGUGACUAUUUUGGCAACU
rnacentral:lncRNA from 1 species